rnacentral:sRNA from 1 species
UGGCUUGACAGUCUCUCUUUAUCCCCAGAACAGGUACAACACAGGCAGCAGCAGUGUCAGCUUCCCCUGCUCAUUGCCCCGCUAAUUAGAGCUGUCUGAAACUAUUUCGCACCACCUUCAGAAAACUCACACUUCCUUGGUUUUGCAGGAAAGCGAAAGCUGUCUCCUUCUUGCCUUGAGCUUUU